rnacentral:rRNA from 1 species
GAUGAACGCUGGCGGCGUGCUUAACACAUGCAAGUCGAACGAAGCACUUUAUUUGAUUUCCUUCGGGACUGAUUAUUUUGUGACUGAGUGGCGGACGGGUGAGUAACGCGUGGGUAACCUGCCUUGUACAGGGGGAUAACAGUUGGAAACGGCUGCUAAUACCGCAUAAGCGCACAGCAUCGCAUGAUGCAGUGUGAAAAACUCCGGUGGUAUAAGAUGGACCCGCGUUGGAUUAGCUAGUUGGUGAGGUAACGGCCCACCAAGGCGACGAUCCAUAGCCGACCUGAGAGGGUGACCGGCCACAUUAGGACUGAGACACGGCCCAAACUCCUACGGGAGGCAGCAGUGGGGAAUAUUGCACAAUGGGCGAAAGCCUGAUGCAGCGACGCCGCGUGAGCGAAGAAGUAUUUCGGUAUGUAAAGCUCUAUCAGCAGGGAAGAUAAUGACGGUACCUGACUAAGAAGCACCGGCUAAAUACGUG